GUUUCUAAAAAACUAUACUUGUUUUCUUUGUUUUCUCUGCAGGUCCAGGCUCAGUCAGCACUCCGACGAACUGCCACUGCCCUCCGCCGCGUCUCUACCGUCGGCGACCACCGUGCACGGCGGUCAGAGGUAAGAAUCUCCUUCUUUUUUAUUUUUUUCUAUAUUUUAUGUGUUUAUAAUAUAUGUAUAUAUAUAUGCAAAUAGAAGAUUUGAAAAAUGGAAAAGAAAAAGAAAUAAAUCAAAAAAGUGUAUAAAAUAUAAUCACCUUAGUUCUUUAGAUAUCUGAUUCUUGGUAUUUGUUUUCCGAUUUAGUGUUUUUCUCUUUGAUUGGCUAUUUUGUGCUUUGACUCACUUGAUUUUUUGUUUGUAUUUUAAAACCAAAUGUUUUUUUUUAUUUCUCACAAGUGCCGACCUUGUACAAUGGUUUUAGGGGUGGUCUUUUAUAUCCACUUUCCCUUACAACUUGCUCCCUAAUAAAUUGCUCUGUCUUUCUUGCAGAAAAAUAGGUGGUGUUGGUGUCAGGCAGUGGCGGUGGACGUGACAAGCGGUGGCAGACCUGGCACAAGUGGUUAGGCUAGGGUUUCCUUUAGCUUUUGUGUUUUGUGUUUGGAUUGGGACUUUGAUUUGUUUGGACUUGGGGUAUUUUGGGGUUAGUUGGGCUAGGUAGAUUUGGUUUUAAUUUGGGCCCGCAAAUUGGGCUUGUACAAGUGCUAAUACUUUGGUUCUAAUAUAAUAAUAAGACGUUGACAUCCAAUGGCCAUAAGUUGGCAUCCAAUAGUCAUAACUAAAAGUUUGUUUCAAAAUGAAAUAUGUUUC
rnacentral:lncRNA from 1 species